rnacentral:piRNA from 1 species
UGGAAGUCCAUUGGCUCUUAAAAGGGU